UCCACGCCCACCUGACGACUGCUCGCUAUGUUUUGUUAG
rnacentral:sRNA from 1 species